UACGUAGGGUGCAAGCGUUGUCCGGAAUUAUUGGGCGUAAAGAGCUCGUAGGCGGUCUGUCGCGUCGGAUGUGAAAAUCCAGGGCUCAACCCUGGACCUGCAUUCGAUACGGGCAGACUAGAGUUCGGUAGGGGAGACUGGAAUUCCUGGUGUAGCGGUGAAAUGCGUAGAUAUCUGGAGGAACACCGGUGGCGAAGGCGGAUCUCUGGGCCUGUCCUGACGCUCAGGCGCGAAAGCUAGGGGAGCAAACAGG
rnacentral:rRNA from 1 species